CAUCAGCGGUCAUGGAGAGUCUCCAUCCAGCUGGAUCACUGUCACAGACAAACACACCACCACACCUCCACCUACAUCCACACCUCCUGGUUCCACCUCCAUCACUCUUCCUCAAUUACUCUUUCAUCCUGUAAUUCCUGUGUUGUCAUCAGUUUGUGUUGUGGUUCCAGUUGUGUUACUGGUUUUGCUGGUGAGACGAUGUCAUCACAGGAAACCCCAAGUAUAUCAAGAUAUGGCAGCAGAAGAUGGCAUUACAGACAGUGAAAUGAAAAUACCAAACAUUCAAGCGGAAGGAACACAAGAAAGCACAGGUAAUAAUAAUGUAACACACACAAAAAGAUUGUAGGUCUGUCCAACCAUCUCAGUCAUGGGCAAAAAGAUGACAGUCAAUAAAAUUCUAAAAGAUAAUUAAUUGAUACAAUAAUCAAAAGAUAAAAGAUAAAACAGUCCAGUGUCCCAUUUGCGGAUCAAGUAAAAAACAUACAGUCCCAAGGCCAGAGCCAGCUAUGACACAACGCCAGUUGCACUUGACGUGUUGACUUCAACAGGGUUAGCAUUUGUCCUCUGAAACCCACCACCCUGCAAGUAGAUAACCAGUGGUCACUGGUCACUCCAGCCUCUGCAUCUCCGCUGCCUUUAGGCUGUGGCAUAUAAUAGGCCCUGCUAGGGCUGUUCGAUAUAACGAUAUAUAUCGGAUGACGAUAUAAAAACGUCUAUCGUUUCAUUUUACGCUAUCAUUUGUUUCGUGGUGUUGCAAAAUAAACUGU